CGACUGUGAUGAAUCCAAGGUGUGAUACCUGC
rnacentral:piRNA from 1 species